rnacentral:rRNA from 1 species
UACGGGGGGGUAAGUCGUCCAAGGCGACGAUCGGUAGCUGGUCUGAAAGGAUGACCAGCCACACUGGAACUGAGACACGGUCCAGACUCCUACGGGAGGCAGCAGUGGGGAAUAUUGGACAAUGGGGGCAACCCUGAUCCAGCAAUGCCGCGUGUGUGAAGAAGGCCUGAGGGUUGUAAAGCACUUUCAGUGGGGAGGAGGGUUGAUAGGUUAAGAGCUAAUUAACUGGACGUUACCCACAGAAGAAGCACCGGCUAACUCCGUGCCAGCAGCCGCGGUAAUACGGAGGGUGCGAGCGUUAAUCGGAAUUACUGGGCGUAAAGGGUGCGUAGGUGGUUGAUUAAGUUAUCUGUGAAAUUCCUGGGCUUAACCUGGGACGGUCAGAUAAUACUGGUUGACUCGAGUAUGGGAGAGGGUAGUGGAAUUUCCGGUGUAGCGGUGAAAUGCGUAGAGAUCGGAAGGAACACCAGUGGCGAAGGCGGCUACCUGGCCUAAUACUGACACUGAGGCACGAAAGCGUGGGGAGCAAACAGGAUUAGAUACCCUGGUAGUCCACGCUGUAAACGAUGUCAACUAGCUGUUGGUUAUAUGAAAAUAAUUAGUGGCGCAGCAAACGCGUAAAAGUUAG